rnacentral:rRNA from 1 species
AGUGAACGCUGGCGGUAGGCCUAAUACAUGCGAGUCGAACGGCAGCACAGUAAGAGCUUGCUCUUACGGGUGGCGAGUGGCGGACGGGUGAGGAAUACAUCGGAAUCUACUUUUUCGUGGGGGAUAACGUAGGGAAACUUACGCUAAUACCGCAUACGACCUACGGGUGAAAGCAGGGGAUCUUCGGACCUUGCGCGAUUGAAUGAGCCGAUGUCGGAUUAGCUAGUUGGCGGGGUAAAGGCCCACCAAGGCGACGAUCCGUAGCUGGUCUGAGAGGAUGAUCAGCCACACUGGAACUGAGACACGGUCCAGACUCCUACGGGAGGCAGCAGUGGGGAAUAUUGGACAAUGGGCGCAAGCCUGAUCCAGCCAUACCGCGUGGGUGAAGAAGGCCUUCGGGUUGUAAAGCCCUUUUGUUGGGAAAGAAAAGCAGCAGGUUAAUACCCCGCUGUUCUGACGGUACCCAAAGAAUAAGCACCGGCUAACUUCGUG